UAGCCUACGGGACGCAGCAGUGAGGAAUAUUGGUCAAUGGUCGGGAGACUGAACCAGCCAAGCCGCGUGAGGGAUGAAGGUACAGAGUAUCGUAAACCUCUUUUGUCAGGGAACAAAGGCGGGGACGUGUCCCCGGAUGAGUGUACCUGAAGAAAAAGCAUCGGCUAACUCCGUGCCAGCAGCCGCGGUAAUACGGAGGAUGCGAGCGUUAUCCGGAUUUAUUGGGUUUAAAGGGAGCGCAGACGGCGUAUCAAGUCAGAAGUGAAAACCCGGGGCUCAACCCUGGGAGUGCUUUUGAAACUGUU
rnacentral:rRNA from 1 species